AUUGAACGCUGGCGGCAUGCUUUACACAUGCAAGUCGAACGGUAACAGGGAGCUUGCUCCGCUGACGAGUGGCGAACGGGUGAGUAAUGCGUCGGAACGUGCCGAGUAGUGGGGGAUAACGCAUCGAAAGGUGUGCUAAUACCGCAUACGUACUGAGGUAGAAAGUGGGGACCUUCGGGCCUCACGCUAUUCGAGCGGCCGACGUCUGAUUAGCUAGUUGGUGAGGUAAAGGCUCACCAAGGCGACGAUCAGUAGCGGGUCUGAGAGGAUGAUCCGCCACACUGGGACUGAGACACGGCCCAGACUCCUACGGGAGGCAGCAGUGGGGAAUUUUGGACAAUGGGCGCAAGCCUGAUCCAGCCAUGCCGCGUGUCUGAAGAAGGCCUUCGGGUUGUAAAGGACUUUUGUCCGGGAGCAAAUGCCUGGUGUUAAUAGCACUGGGAGCUGAGAGUACCGGAAGAAUAAGCACCGGCUAACUACGUGCCAGCCGCCGCGGUAACAC
rnacentral:rRNA from 1 species